rnacentral:rRNA from 1 species
UACGGGGGGGGUAAGCGUUGUUCGGAAUUACUGGGCGUAAAGGGCUCGUAGGCGGCCAACUAAGUCAUACGUGAAAUCCCUCAGCUUAACUGGGGAACUGCGUGUGAUACUGGAUGGCUUGGAUUUGGGAGAGGGAUGCGGAAUUCCAGGUGUAGCGGUGAAAUGCGUAGAUAUCUGGAGGAACACCAAAGGCGAAGGCAGCAUCCUGGGAAGCGCCUGACGCUCAUGUGCGAAAGCUAGGGGAGCGAACGGG